UACAGAGGUCUCAAGCGUUGUUCGGAUUCAUUGGGCGUAAAGGGUGCGUAGGCGGCGCGGUAAGUCGGGUGUGAAAUCUCAGAGCUCAACUCUGAAACUGCACUCGAUACUGCUUUGCUUGAGGACUGGAGAGGAGAUUGGAAUUCACGGUGUAGCAGUGAAAUGCGCAGAUAUCGGGAAGAACACCCGUGGCGAAGGCGGUUCUCUGGGACGGUACUGACGCUGAGACGCGAAAGCGUGGGGAGCGAACAGG
rnacentral:rRNA from 1 species